rnacentral:rRNA from 1 species
UACGUAGGUGGCAAGCGUUGUCCGGAUUUACUGGGCGUAAAGAGCGCGCAGGCGGUCGAUCAGCGAUGUGAAAGCCCCCGGCUCAACUGGGGAGGGUCAUUCGAUACUGUCCGACUCGAAGGCAGGAGAGGGAAGCGGAAUUCCCGGUGUAGUGGUGAAAUGCGUAGAUAUCGGGAGGAACACCAGUGGCGAAGGCGACUACCUGGCCUGUUCUUGACGCUGAGGCGCGAAAGCUAGGGGAGCAAACGGGG